UACGGUAGGGGCGAGCGUUGUCCGGAAUCGAUUGGGCCGUAAAGGGCGCGUAGGCGGCCUGUCAAGUCAGUAGUGGAAGUCCAUCUUUCAAGGAUGGAAGUGCUACAGAAACUGAUGGGCUUGAGUGCAGGAGAGGUUAUCGGAAUUCCCGGUGUAGCGGUGAAAUGCGUAGAGAUCGGGAGGAACACCAGUGGCGAAGGCGGGUAACUGGACUGCAACUGACGCUGAGGCGCGAAAGUGUGGGGAGCAAACAGGAUUAGAUACCCCUGUA
rnacentral:rRNA from 1 species